UACGGGGGGGGCAAGCGUUGUUCGGAAUUACUGGGCGUAAAGGGCUCGUAGGUUGCCAACUAAGUCAGACGUGAAAUCCCUCGGCUUAACCGGGGAACUGCGUCUGAUACUGGAUGGCUUGAGUUCGGGAGAGGGAUGCGGAAUUCCAGGUGUAGCGGUGAAAUGCGUAGAUAUCUGGAGGAACACCGGUGGCGAAGGCGGCAUCCUGGACCGACACUGACACUGAGGCGCGAAAGCUAGGGGAGCAAACGGG
rnacentral:rRNA from 1 species